AAGGUAGAGGAACAGGCCCUG
rnacentral:miRNA from 1 species